rnacentral:rRNA from 1 species
AGUAAUGUAUGGGGAUCUGCCUGAUGGCGGGGGAUAACUACUGGAAACGGUAGCUAAUACCGCAUAAUGUCUGCGGACCAAAGCGGGGGGACCUCCGGGCCUCGCGCCAUCAGAUGAACCCAUAUGGGAUUAGCUAGUAGGUAAGGUAACGGCUUACCUAGGCGACGAUCCCUAGCUGGUCUGAGAGGAUGAUCAGCCACACUGGGACUGAGACACGGCCCAG